rnacentral:rRNA from 1 species
UACGUAGGGUGCAAGCGUUAAUCGGAAUUACUGGGCGUAAAGCGUGCGCAGGCGGCUUUGCAAGACAGAUGUGAAAUCCCCGGGCUUAACCUGGGAACUGCAUUUGUGACUGCAUGGCUAGAGUGCGGCAGGGGGGGAUGGAAUUCCGCGUGUAGCAGUGAAAUGCGUAGAUAUGCGGAGGAACACCGAUGGCGAAGGCGGUUCUCUGGGCCUUACCUGACGCUGAGGAGCGAAAGCGUGGGGAGCGAACAGG